rnacentral:rRNA from 1 species
GAUGAACGCUGGCGGCGUGCUUAACACAUGCAAGUCGAACGAAGUAUAAUGAAUUGAGUUCUUCGGAGCAAUUGAAAUUAUACUGAGUGGCGGACGGGUGAGUAACGCGUGGAUAACCUGCCUUACACUGGGGGACAACAGUUGGAAACGACUGCUAAUACCGCAUAAGCGCACAGUACCGCAUGGUACGGUGUGAAAAACUCCGGUGGUGUAAGAUGGAUCCGCGUCUGAUUAGCUAGUUGGUGGGGUAAUGGCCUACCAAGGCGACGAUCAGUAGCCGGCCUGAGAGGGUGAACGGCCACAUUGGGACUGAGACACGGCCCAGACUCCUACGGGAGGCAGCAGUGGGGAAUAUUGCACAAUGGGCGAAAGCCUGAUGCAGCGACGCCGCGUGAGUGAAGAAGUAUUUCGGUAUGUAAAGCUCUAUCAGCAAGGAAGAUAAUGACGGUACUUGACUAAGAAGCCCCGGCUAACUACGUGCCAGCCGCCGCGGUAAAAC